AGAGCGAACGCUGGCGGCAGGCCUAACACAUGCAAGUCGAGCGCCCAGCAAUGGGAGCGGCAGACGGGAUAGUAACACGUGGGAACGUACCUUUCGGUUCGGAACAACCCAGGGAAACUUGGGCUAAUACCGAAUACGCCCGUAAGGGGAAAGAUUUAUCGCUGAAAGAUCGGCCCGCGUCUGAUUAGCUAGUUGGUGGGGUAAUGGCCCACCAAGGCGACGAUCAGUAGCUGGUCUGAGAGGAUGAUCAGCAUCACUGGGACUGAGACACGGCCCAGACUCCUACGGGAGGCAGCAGUGGGGAAUAUUGGACAAUGGGCGCAAGCCUGAUCCAGCCAUGCCGCGUGGAUGAUGAAGGCCCUAGGGUUGUAAAGUCCUUUCGGCGGGGAAGAUAAUGACGGUACCCGCAGAAGAAGCCCCGGCUAACUUCGCGCCAGCAGCCGC
rnacentral:rRNA from 1 species